UACGUAGGGGGCGAGCGUUGUCCGGAAUCAUUGGGCGUAAAGCGCGUGUAGGCGGUUCAGUAAGUCUGCUGUGAAAGUCCAGAGCUCAACCCUGGGAUGCCGGUGGAUACUGCUGAACUAGAGUGCGGAAGAGGCGAGUGGAAUUCCCGGUGUAGCGGUGAAAUGCGCAGAUAUCGGGGAGGAACACCAAUUGCGAAGGCAGCUCGCUGGGACGUUACUGACGCUGAGACGCGAAAGCGUGGGGAGCAAACAGGG
rnacentral:rRNA from 1 species